rnacentral:rRNA from 1 species
CCUACGGGUGACAGCAGUGAGGAAUAUUGGUCAAUGGACGAGAGUCUGAACCAGCCAAGUAGCGUGAAGGAUGACUGUCCUAUGGGUUGUAAACUUCUUUUAUAUGGGAAUAAAAUGUUCCACGUGUGGGAUUUUGUAUGUACCAUAUGAAUAAGGAUCGGCUAACUCCGUGCCAGCAGCCGCGGUAAUACGGAGGAUCCGAGCGUUAUCCGGAUUUAUUGGGUUUAAAGGGAGCGUAGGUGGAUUGUUAAGUCAGUUGUGAAAGUUUGCGGCUCAACCGUAAAAUUGCAGUUGAAACUGGCAGUCUUGAGUACAGUAGAGGUGGGCGGAAUUCGUGGGGUAGCGGUGAAAUGCUUAGAUAUCACGAAGAACUCCGAGUGCGAAGGCAGUUCACUGGACUGCAACUGACACUGAGGCUCGAAAGUGUGGGUAUCAAACAGGAUUAGAGACCCUUGUAGUC